rnacentral:rRNA from 1 species
ACCCAGACUCCUACGGGAGGCAGCAGUGGGGAAUAUUGCACAAUGGGGGAAACCCUGAUGCAGCGACGCCGCGUGAGCGAUGAAGUAUUUCGGUAUGUAAAGCUCUAUCAGCAGGGAAGAAAAUGACGGUACCUGACUAAGAAGCCCCGGCUAACCACGUGCCAGCAGCCGCGGUAAUACGUAGGGGGCAAGCGUUAUCCGGAUUUACUGGGUGUAAAGGGAGCGUAGACGGCUGUGCAAGCCAGAUGUGAAAGCCCGGGGCUCAACCCCGGGACUGCAUUUGGAACUGUGUGGCUGGAGUGUCGGAGAGGCAGGCGGAAUUCCUAGUGUAGCGGUGAAAUGCGUAGAUAUUAGGAGGAACACCAGUGGCGAAGGCGGCUUACUGGACUGUAACUGACGUUGAGGCUCGAAAGCGUGGGGAGCAAACAGGAUUAGAUACCCCAGUA